rnacentral:rRNA from 1 species
UUUGAUCCUGGCUCAGAUUGAACGCUGGCGGAAUGCUUUACACAUGCAAGUCGAACGGCAGCACGGGAGCUUGCUCCUGGUGGCGAGUGGCGAACGGGUGAGUAAUAUAUCGGAACGUACCUAGUAAUGGGGGAUAACUAGCCGAAAGGUUAGCUAAUACCGCAUACGCCCUACGGGGGAAAGCGGGGGAUCGUAAGACCUCGCGUUAUUAGAGCGGCCGAUAUCUGAUUAGCUAGUUGGUGGGGUAAAGGCCCACCAAGGCGACGAUCAGUAGCUGGUCUGAGAGGACGACCAGCCACACUGGAACUGAGACACGGUCCAGACUCCUACGGGAGGCAGCAGUGGGGAAUUUUGGACAAUGGGCGCAAGCCUGAUCCAGCCAUUCCGCGUGAGUGAAGAAGGCCUUCGGGUUGUAAAGCUCUUUCGCAAGGGAAGAAACGAUACAGGUUAAUAACCUGUGUUAAUGACGGUACCUUGAUAAGAAGCACCGGCUAACUACGUGCCAGCAGCCGCGGUAAUACGUAGGGUGCGAGCGUUAAUCGGAAUUACUGGGCGUAAAGCGUGCGCAGGCGGUUUUGUAAGUCAGAUGUGAAAUCCCCGGGCUCAACCUGGGAACUGCGUUUGAAACUACAAGGCUAGAGUGUAGCAGAGGGGGGUAGAAUUCCACGUGUAGCAGUGAAAUGCGUAGAGAUGUGGAGGAAUACCAAUGGCGAAGGCAGCCCCCUGGGUUAACACUGACGC